UACAGAGGAUCCAAGCGUUAUCCGGAAUCAUUGGGUUUAAAGGGUCCGUAGGCGGUUUAAUAAGUCAGUGGUGAAAUCUGGUCGCUCAACGAUCAAACGGCCAUUGAUACUGUUAGACUUGAAUUAUUAGGAGGUAACUAGAAUAUGUAGUGUAGCAGUGAAAUGCUUAGAUAUUACAUGGAAUACCAAUUGCGAAGGCAGGUUACUACUAAUAUGUUGACGCUGAGGGACGAAAGCGUGGGGAGCGAACAGG
rnacentral:rRNA from 1 species